UACGUAGGGUGCAAGCGUUGUCCGGAAUUAUUGGGCGUAAAGAGCUCGUAGGCGGUCUGUCGCGUCGGCUGUGAAAACCCGGGGCUCAACCCCGGGCCUGCAGUCGAUACGGGCAGACUAGAGUGUGGUAGGGGAGACUGGAAUUCCUGGUGUAGCGGUGAAAUGCGCAGAUAUCAGGAGGAACACCGAUGGCGAAGGCAGGUCUCUGGGCCGCAACUGACGCUGAGGAGCGAAAGCAUGGGGAGCGAACAGG
rnacentral:rRNA from 1 species